UUUUAAAAAGGCAAGAUCUUUAAAAUGUUCAUGAAUUCUGCCCCACCUAUCUGCAAUACACUAGUAUUCAGAACAUCUCAACAUGCACCAACAUAUUCUUUUCUAAUACCUAUCUUUAUCCCUAAGUGUAAGAUGGGAAAACCCAUAAGGACUUAACUCUAGUUUAUAAUGCUUCAUUUCUUGAUUUCUGUCAGUAAAAUUAGCUGUCUUGAAUUUUGCUUCAAAUGACAACCAGUGAAAUUCCCAAUUCCGACUUCAAAAAGCGAGACUAUAAUUCACAGAAGUACAAUCAGAAGCAAAUGAAAAUGUUCCCUCUCCCUUUCUUUUUUCCAUAUUCUUUUUUUAUUUAAUAUUUUUUAGUUGUAGUUAGUCACAACACUUUUAUUUUAUUUAAUUUUAUGUGGUGCUGAGGAUCGAACCCAGUGCCUCACGUGUGCUAGACAAGCACUCUGCCGCUGAGCCACAACCCCAGUCUCUCUCUCCCUUUCAGUGAGAAGGAGAGAAAAUAUUUUACAUCAUAAAUCAACUUUUAAAGAUCUGAUCUGAAGCUCUGGGCAUGGUGGCACAUGCCUGUAAUCGCAGCAACUUGGGAGUCUGAGGCAAGAGUACUGCAAGUUCAAGGCCAGCCUCAGCAAUUUAGCAAUACCCUCAGCAACUUAGUGAGACAUUGUCUCAAAAAAAAUUAAAAGAUCUGGGGAUGUAGCUCUGUGGUAAAGCACAAUCCCCAGUACAAAAAUAAAUCUGAUUUGAUAAGGUUUUAAACUGGAAUCACAGGAAUAUCAAGCUUGCUCUCCUGUACCAAAUAGCACCAUGUAUGUAUUUUUUUUUCUGUAACUAAUUUGUGUACUAUGUUAAAAUAAAUGUGUCUCAAAGUAUUAUUUGACCAAAGAGGUCUUACAAGACUCCAAAGACUAUAAAUUGUUGCUGUGGCAUAUAAAACUGUUUCAGGUUGGAUUCUCUGGAAGUAGAUGCUAAAACAGUUUGGAGUGCGAGGAAUUUACAAGGGGUGAACACCUGUGAAAGAG
rnacentral:lncRNA from 1 species